UACGGAGGGUGCAAGCGUUAUCCGGAUUCACUGGGUUUAAAGGGUGCGUAGGUGGGUUGGUAAGUCAGUGGUGAAAUCCCCGAGCUUAACUUGGGAACUGCCAUUGAUACUAUUAACCUUGAAUACCGUGGAGGUCAGCGGAAUAUGUCAUGUAGCGGUGAAAUGCUUAGAUAUGACAUAGAACACCAAUUGCGAAGGCAGCUGGCUACGCGAAUAUUGACACUGAUGCACGAAAGCGUGGGGAUCAAACAGG
rnacentral:rRNA from 1 species